CGGGGCGUAGCGCAGCCCGGUAGCGCGCCUGCUUUGGGAGCAGGAUGUCGGAGGUUCAAAUCCUCUCGCCCCGA
rfam:Candidatus Nitrospira inopinata isolate ENR4 genome assembly, chromosome: 1